GCAGUCGCGGCCGAGUGGUUAAGGCGAUGGACUAGAAAUUCAUUGGGGUCUCUUCACACAGGUUUGAGUCCUGUCGCCUGCA
rfam:Ixodes scapularis strain Wikel colony gcontig_1107728753054, whole genome shotgun sequence.